UAUGGGCGGCAUCUUCAAAUUCUAGCGUCCCGUGCCAACCGGCCCGGUUAGGACGACCACACAAAAGACCAUUGUUACAAGCUCAUUGGCUAUCCCAAAAGGCAGCCCAAGCCUCAUGCAAACAAGGUUUAAUGAGCGCCACUUCCGCCUAGCCAACCAUCUUUGCGUAGUGCACCACAGUUUACUGUCGAACAACAUCGCCAUUUGUUGAAUCUCCUCCAAGCAAGUAGUUCCAACAAAUUGACCAAUCUUGCUGGACCAGUUAACGAGGAAGACGACUAGAGCCAGUAGAGAAUAGAGUGGACUUUAUCUGUUCCAAUUUUCUAAAGAUGUGAUUCCUUCAUCUGAUCAGCACCCACAAUGCAUGGACCUACGGCACUAACAUCUUGGCCACCCAUCCAAUGCUUGGUUACAAACUCUUAUUGAGAAACAUUCUAAUGUUUUUUAUUCUGUUGAUCGCUAUUGUCUUAUAUUCUCAACUAUCUUUUCUAUUUAGUUCAUGUUCUACCACUUCACCUUUUCUACUUAUUCACAGUGAUAUGUAGGAAGGUUAUGCUUCCCCAUUCCUUUAUGGCGCACGCUAUUUUUUAACCUUCGUUGAUGAUUUUAUUUGUAAUACUUGGAUAUCUUUAAUUUGACAUAAAUUGAAACUAAUCACCACUUGAAAGCCUUUUUUACCUUGGUUAAAACUCAAUUUACUUAUUUAAUUAAGUCCCUUCAUACCAACAAUAGAAUUGAAUUAUUCUCUAAUGAUAUGAAACAUUUUUUGUAAACUCAAGGUGUGUUCCAUCAACAUUCAUGUACAGCAACACCACAACAAAAUGGUGCUGCUGAACAAAAAUAUUGCCACCUCCUUAAGGUUGCAUGAGCUUUGCGUUAUGAGUCCAGACUUGUUAGGCUCAAGAGGAGACUUGACUCCCGGCCUAUG